UUGUAUUCCAUCAGUACUUGGCACAGAGUGUUAGCUAUAAGGUGUGCCCAUUACUCUGAGCCGUAAUACCUGGUGAAGGCUGAUGCUGCCGUAAAUUUCCUCCCAGAUUCCAUCACAAGUGUCCUGGUCCGAACCCUGGGGCUUUACACAGGAAAGAAGGGCUGAAGCUGGCUCCAGGACUGCUGCCGCAUGAGCCUGCAGAGCCUCCAUCACUCGCAGCGGGUUGGAAACCUCAGUGGCAAUACAGAAGAGGACAAAUAAUCAGGAAAAGCAUCAUGCAUUUUCUCAAUAGUGUGAUGGGAGAUGUUUCAAGCUCUUUUAAUAGGAUUUGUUUUCUUCACAUAAG
rnacentral:lncRNA from 1 species